rnacentral:misc_RNA from 1 species
AAUCAUCAAAAGACCUCUUUCUUUCGAAAGAGAUUUUUUUUGGACUUGGAGGUUUGAUGCUUGCUUACGUUUUCGAAAGCGAGCUCCUCUUAAAUGAAUUAGUGGGGUCUGCUUUGUCGGUCCUUGACGUGAUAAGAUGCUUCUACGUUUCGGAUCGGGCACUGUUGCUCGGACACCUGCUUCUAACCGUCUCACAGACAACGAUGGUGCUCCGGUCACCAACCAAUCAUCUACAUUGGUUGGGAGGCUGGACCCACGAAACC